CGUCUCUCUCAUUCAUUGUUUUGUUUCAUUUUCUCGCUUCGGGCUACUUUCUCUCUCUAGUUCUCUGUUUCUUUUCGAAGAGGAGAAGUGAGGUCAAUCGUUUCGUCGCCUUUCUUUCUGGAUCUCGUCUUCAGUUAGAUCAGUUUUACAUUUGGGAUUGGGGUUUAAUUUUUUUAUUUGUUUAGGUGUUUGAUGAUCUAGGGUUGGGUUGGGUGUGCUUAAAAUCGUGAAUAGGUGACAAAAGGAAGGGGUAAAAAAAGGGAUUGAUGGUACUCGUUUUAGGGCAAAAUGCAAGGGUAUCAUGCGUAUUCGUCUGCAUGGAUGGCGAGCUGGUGAAGGGGAAGACCGCCAGAGGAAACGGCACAUGUGGACUGUCCCUCCACGUGGCUCCCCGAUUUUAGAUGCACUUGCUCAUGGUGCUGCCUCUCCUCCUUUGUCUUCUUCUCCCAAUUCAACUACUUUCUUUUCUCAGGAUGGACGCAAAGUCGGUGUUGGUGAUUGUGCACUUUUCAAACCUCCCCGGGAUUCUCCUCCCUUCAUUGGAAUAAUUCGUUCAGUGACUGCCAUUGAAGAGAAUAAGUUGACAUUAAGUGUAACUUGGCUUUAUCGACCUGCUGAAGUAAAACUUGGCAAAGGCCCAUUGGAGGCUGCGCCAAACGAAAUUUUCUAUUCCUUCCAUAAGGAUGAGAUUCCUGCUGCUUCGUUACUGCAUCCGUGUAAAGUCGCAUUUCUUCCAAAAGGUGUUGAACUUCCAUCAGGAAUUGGCUCUUUUGUUUGCCGGAAAGUAUAUGAUAUUACCAAACAGUGUUUAUGGUGGCUAACUGAUAAAGACUUUAUGACUGACCGACAGGAAGAAAUAGAUCAGCUAUUGCACAAGACUCGUGUAGAAAUGCAUGCAACAGUGCCACCAGGUGGUCGUUCCCCAAAGCCUAUGAAUGGUCCAACUUCAACUUCACAAUUAAAGCCUGGUUCUGAUGGUGUGCAGAAUAGUGCUUCCUCUCAUCCACCACAAGUUAAAGGGAAGAAAAGGGAGAGGGGAGAUCAGGGCUCUGAGCCUGUUAAACGGGAACGUUCUUCAAGAAUGGAGGAUGGGGAUUCUGGUCACAAUAGAUCAGAUUGUCUAAAAUCUGAGAUUGCCAAAUUUACUGAUAAAGGAGGACUUGUAGACUAUGAUGGCGUAGAGAAAUUGGUGCAGCUCAUGAUGCCUGAGAAAAAAAUAGAUUUGGUUUGCCGAUCAGUGCUUGCUGGUGUGGUGGCUGCGACAGACAAAUUGGAUUGCCUUAAUUGGUUUGUGCAGCUUAAGGGUUUACCUGUUUAUGAUGAAUGGCUUCAAGAGGUCCACAAAGGAAAGAUUGGUGAUGGUAACAGGCCCAAAGACAGUGAUAGAUCAAUUGAGGAAUUUCUCUUAAUUUUACUUCGUGCACUUGAUAAACUGCCUAUAAAUCUUCAUGCACUACAAAUGUGUAACAUUGGCAAGUCUGUUAAUCAUUUGCGUACACACAAGAAUUUGGAAAUUCAGAAGAAAGCAAGGAGUUUAGUUGACACCUGGAAGAAACGUGUUGAGGCUGAAAUGGAUGCAAAACCAAAUCAGGGUGUCUCCUGGCCAGCUAGACCCAGGCUUCCAGAAGUUACUCCUGGUGGGAACAGACAAUCUGGUGGAUCCUCUGAGGUUGCUGUAAAGAGCUUGGUGAUGCAGCCUACUGCUUCCAAAACUGCUUCAGUCAAGCUUGUACCGGGGGAGACCACUCCAAAGUCAGCAUUUGCAUCACCGGUGUUUGUGAAAUCAGUACCAUCACCUACAUCAGUGGGCACAAACCUAAAAGAUGGACAAUCUCGUAAUUAUGCUGUUGGUGGUACAAUUGAACUUCCUUCAAAUCUGGCAAAGGAUGAGAAAAGCAGUGGUGCUGGUCAAUCCCACAACAAUAGUCAAAUUUGUUCCAUUGACCAUUCGAAAACUGGGGGAUUCUCGGGGAAGGAGGAUAUUAGGGGCUUUACUGCUGUUUCAGUGACUGCGAAUAAGGCCUCAGCUGGUUCUUUGCGGUCUCGAAAAUCUGUUAAUGGUUUCCAGGGUUCAAAUUUUUCAGGGGCUCAAAGAGAAACUGGGUCAAACAGAACUUCCCAGCACAGGAAUCAAACUUCAGAAAGACCAUCACAAUCGAGUUCAACAAGUGAAAAAGCAAUUGAUGUACCUGUUGUUGAGGGGAGUAACCACAAGCUGAUAGUUAAGAUCCCUAAUCGAGGUCGCAGUCCAGCUCAAAGUGGCAGUGCAGGAUCUGUUGAAGACCCUCCAGCCAUAAACAGCAGGGUAUCUUCUCCUGUGCUUUCAGAGAAGCAGGAUCAAUUUGAUCAUAGCCUCAAGGAAAAGAAUGAUGCACUUGUUGGAGCUGGUGAGGGAGAUGGGACACCUUCUAUUGCUCCUGAUGAUGAAGGCUGUCAGAUUGGUGAUGAUGCAAAGGCAUUUACUGAAAUAUUGAAAGAUUCUUCUAUACCAUCAGGAAAAGAACAUAAAAAUACAAAGUGGCAACAAAUUCCUUUCAGUGCUUUGGUUAAGUAUUCUGAAGUUGCUGCAUCUACCCCAGUUGGGGAUGAUAUUGGAAUGAAUUUGCUUGCAAGUGUGGCUGCUGGAGAGAUGUACAAAUCUGAUAUAAUUUCACCGCCUAGUUCUCCACAAAGAAACACUCCUGUACAUGAGCAACUCUGUGAUGACAAUGAUUCAAGAGUACAGUCAUCUCCGGGAGCUGAUCUUUCACAAGAACAUAGUCAGUCUAUUGAUGGUGCUGACGAUGAACAUGAUAAGCAGGUUGAUCGUACUUUGCCGGCCAAGAAUGCAAAUGCUAAUGAGGAGAAAUCUGCAAGAGAUCCAACUGGACAUAUAAAUAUUUCUCCAAUGGAUUUGCCAGAGACUGGAAAUUCUUUUCCAGAGAACCAUGAGAAUUUGAAACAGGAAAUAAAGGGGCAGAUCUCAGACGCAGCAGCCAAAGAUCUUGCGGGAAAGGCAGGUAGUAGAGUGGAAGUAGAUGGAAUUCCAGGUGCUAAACAAAAGAUGAGUAGCUCUUUUUUAACUGUGGAUACGAUCUCUGAACCUGGUGUAAAAGUUGAGAAUGAAGCCCUUGAAGGAUCAUCAUCAUAUCAAGCUUCAGAAAUUGAUGGUGAGAAUAAGAAAGAUGUGAAUGAUGGAUUUAAUAGCAUACAGACAGAACAAAAACUUUCUCCUGUGGCAAAACACUUUGACUUUGCGAAAGAAAUGGAUGUGAAAGUGCUGCUUACGUCUAGUGGUAAAGAUAUAGCUUCUGAAAAUGUGGAUGAAGUCAAAGCUGAAAAUGUUGUUGAAGUUGAUGUGACUAAUCUAAAUGAUAGUGAAAAGCUGAAAACUGAAUGGAGAAGUAAAGCUCCCAUGACUUGCAAGGAUGAGAAUGAACUGAAUUUGGGCUUAGCCGACUCUGUUAACAAGUGUGAGCAUGUUGAGGAAUCUGUUGAACGCAAUGAGGUUAAAGAGCGUCAUUGUACUGGUCCAGCUCCUCCAGAGGCAUCCCCUGACUUGCAAGGGCAAGAAACAGGACAGCAUGUGAAGCUGGGGGAACCUAAGUUGGCUGGGAGUGAGGGAGAUGAAGCAGAGGUGUCUUCAUCAACCACUGCUGAUACAUCUUUCUCUGCUGCUGGUGUGACUGACAAAGAAGCAAAAGUUGAAUUUGAUCUAAAUGAAGGUUUUAAUGGGGAUGAUGGAAAAGAUGGGGCCCCAGAAUGUUCAGGUGCUGUGCAACAGUUGAUUAGCCCAUUGCCUUUCCCGAUUUCUUCUGUCUCUAGUAGCCUUUCGACAUCAAUUACAGUAGCUGCUGCUGCAAAAGGGCCUUUUGUUCCACCGGAAGAUCUUCUGAGGAGUAAAGGGGCACGUGGUUGGAAGGGGUCUGCGGCAACAAGUGCAUUUCGUCCAGCUGAACCUAGAAAGGUUCUAGAGAUGCCGUUUGGUGCAACUAACAUACCUCUUUCUGAUGCCACUCCUGGAAAACACAGUCGCCCUCCAUUGGAUAUUGACUUGAAUGUACCAGAUGAGAGAAUAUUUGAGGAUUUGGCUUCUCGGGGCUCUGCUCAGGAUACAUUUUCUGUAUCUGACCUUACAAAUAAUCGUGAUGUGUCACAUGAACAGAUGGGUUCUACACCUGCUCGUUGCUCUGGUGGACUUGACCUUGAUUUGAAUAGAGCUGAGGAGCUUACUGAUAAUUUCUCAACAAGUAACGGUCAUAAAGCAGAUUUUCCUGUUCUUCCUGUCACAUCAUCAUCAGGUGGUCUUUUCAAUGGUGAAGUGAGUGUUCGCAGGGACUUUGAUUUGAAUGAUGGACCUGUUGUUGAUGAGAUGAGUAUGGAACCAGCAUUGUUUAACCAGAACACCAGAAGCAUACCACCCCUGUUUAACCAGAACACAAGAAGCAUACCACCCCAGCCACCGGUUUCUGGCCUUCGGGUGAAUUCUGCAGAUUCAGGAAACCUUGCAUCACGGUAUCCCAGAGGGAACCCUUAUUCAACCAUCACAGUUCCAUCAUUGCCUGAUAGAGAGCAGCAGCCUUUUCAAAUUGUUGCACCAGGGGCACCCCAAAGGAUGUUGGCCCCCCCUUCUGGUGGCAACCUGUUUGGUCCUGAUAUUUACAGGGGGCCAGUAUUGUCAUCUUCUCCUGCAGUUCCCUUUCCAUCUACUCACUUCCAGUAUCCUGUCUUUCCCUUUGGAAGCACCUUUCCUCUUCCAUCAGCCACUUUCUCUGGUGGUUCAACAACAUAUGUGGAUUCAUCAUCUGGUGGGAGGCUAUGCUUCCCUGCAAUCAAUUCACAAAUAUUAGGACCAACAACUGCAAUCCCAUCUCAUUACCAAAGGCCUUAUGUAGUUAGCCUCCCUGAUGGUAGCAACAGUUCUAAUACUGACAGUGGCUGGAAAUGGGGAAGACAGGCUCUAGACUUAAAUGCAGGGCCUGGAGUCCCAGAUAUAGAAGGUAGAGAUGAGACAUCACCUCUUGUGCCAAGGCAACUAUCUGUUGCUAGUUCACAGGCCAUGGCAGAAGACCAAGCAAGAAGCGUUCUGAAGAGGAAGGAACCUGAAGGAGGAUGGGAUGGCUACAAGCGACCUUCAUGGCAAUAGGAAUGCAUAUUUCAUCAUUUGCUGACCCAUGAAAUCUUUUCUUCAAGGAUGGGCAGUGGCUAACCCCCAGAGGUUGACUAACUUUUGCUCUUGGAGGUUGGGUGGUAAGUGAGUUAUUUGAUGUUGUCCAUAGUCUCCGACCCCCACCCUUCUGCUGUAUCAACUUUGUCGUAAAGAUCUGUUUGGGUCUACAAGCUGUUUGUUCGUUGAAUUUGUUCUGGGUGGUGCAGAUCAGCAUCCUUCUUGUAGAUAUUUUAACUGUUGGAAAGCAUGCACUGUGCUGCCUAGAUAUUCAAAUUUGGUGCCCAAGAGGUGUUUAUGCAUCCAGAAAAUACUGCUGGACCCAGAGUCACCCUCCUUUUCCAAUCCUUAUUAUGGAGGCAUGACCAGGAUCACAGAGAGGGGAAUCAAUGGCAGAGAUUGAAAUUGAAUGAUGAAACAAAUGAACGGAUGUCCCUUUUCUGUUUUUCUGCCACAUUUUGCUUGAUGGGCAGGAUUCUAUGUUUAAGGCCACCAUAAUUUGCUUGGUUCACAAUGGAUACAUUUUGGCACCAAGGACAUCACAAAUUAUACAUCUCUUUGUCAGCAAAUAUUUUUUGCGAUGGUGAAUAUUUGUGGAUGGUCUUGAUCCUGUUGAAAUAUGGAUACAUAUGUUCACUGCAUGAUUAUCAUAGCAAAUGCCUUUUCACUCUAA